rnacentral:rRNA from 2 species
GGUUAAGCGACUAAGCGUACACGGUGGAUGCCCUGGCAGUCAGAGGCGAUGAAGGGCGUACUAAUCUGCGAUAAGCGCCGGUAAGGUGAUAUGAACCGUUAUAACCGGCGAUACCCGAAUGGGGAAACCCAGUGUGAUUCGUCACACUAUCAUUAACUGAAUCCAUAGGUUAAUGAGGCGAACCGGGGGAACUGAAACAUCUAAGUACCCCGAGGAAAAGAAAUCAACCGAGAUUCCCCCAGUAGCGGCGAGCGAACGGGGAGGAGCCCAGAGCCUGAAUCAGCAUGUGUGUUAGUGGAAGCGUCUGGAAAGGCGCGCGAUACAGGGUGACAGCCCCGUACACAAAAGCGCAUGUGCUGUGAGCUCGAUGAGUAGGGCGGGACACGUGGUAUCCUGUCUGAAUAUGGGGGGACCAUCCUCCAAGGCUAAAUACUCCUGACUGACCGAUAGUGAACCAGUACCGUGAGGGAAAGGCGAAAAGAACCCCGGCGAGGGGAGUGAAAAAGAACCUGAAACCGUGUACGUACAAGCAGUGGGAGCACAGGUUUACCUGUGUGACUGCGUACCUUUUGUAUAAUGGGUCAGCGACUUAUAUUCUGUAGCAAGGUUAACCGAAUAGGGGAGCCGGAGGGAAACCGAGUCUUAAUUGGGCGUUAAGUUGCAGGGUAUAGACCCGAAACCCGGUGAUCUAGCCAUGGGCAGGUUGAAGGUUGGGUAACACUAACUGGAGGACCGAACCGACUAAUGUUGAAAAAUUAGCGGAUGACCUGUGGCUGGGGGUGAAAGGCCAAUCAAACCGGGAGAUAGCUGGUUCUCCCCGAAAGCUAUUUAGGUAGCGCCUCGUGAAUUCAUCUCCGGGGGUAGAGCACUGUUUCGGCUAGGGGGCCAUCCCGGCUUACCAACCCGAUGCAAACUGCGAAUACCGGAGAAUGUUAUCACGGGAGACACACGGCGGGUGCUAACGUCCGUCGUGAAGAGGGAAACAACCCAGACCGCCAGCUAAGGUCCCAAAGUCAUGGUUAAGUGGGAAACGAUGUGGGAAGGCCCAGACAGCCAGGAUGUUGGCUUAGAAGCAGCCAUCAUUUAAAGAAAGCGUAAUAGCUCACUGGUCGAGUCGGCCUGCGCGGAAGAUGUAACGGGGCUAAACCAUGCACCGAAGCUGCGGCAGCGACGCUUAUGCGUUGUUGGGUAGGGGAGCGUUCUGUAAGCCUGCGAAGGUGGCCUGUGAGGGUUGCUGGAGGUAUCAGAAGUGCGAAUGCUGACAUAAGUAACGAUAAAGCGGGUGAAAAGCCCGCUCGCCGGAAGACCAAGGGUUCCUGUCCAACGUUAAUCGGGGCAGGGUGAGUCGACCCCUAAGGCGAGGCCGAAAGGCGUAGUCGAUGGGAAACGGGUUAAUAUUCCCGUACUUGGUGUUACUGCGAAGGGGGGACGGAGAAGGCUAUGUUGGCCGGGCGACGGUUGUCCCGGUUUAAGCGUGUAGGUGUGUGUUCCAGGUAAAUCCGGUUCACUUUAACACUGAGGCGUGACGACGAGGCACUACGGUGCUGAAGCAACAAAUGCCCUGCUUCCAGGAAAAGCCUCUAAGCAUCAGGUAACAUCAAAUCGUACCCCAAACCGACACAGGUGGUCAGGUAGAGAAUACCAAGGCGCUUGAGAGAACUCGGGUGAAGGAACUAGGCAAAAUGGUGCCGUAACUUCGGGAGAAGGCACGCUGACACGUAGGUGAAGUGAUUUACUCAUGGAGCUGAAGUCAGUCGAAGAUACCAGCUGGCUGCAACUGUUUAUUAAAAACACAGCACUGUGCAAACACGAAAGUGGACGUAUACGGUGUGACGCCUGCCCGGUGCCGGAAGGUUAAUUGAUGGGGUCAGCGCAAGCGAAGCUCCUGAUCGAAGCCCCGGUAAACGGCGGCCGUAACUAUAACGGUCCUAAGGUAGCGAAAUUCCUUGUCGGGUAAGUUCCGACCUGCACGAAUGGCGUAAUGAUGGCCAGGCUGUCUCCACCCGAGACUCAGUGAAAUUGAACUCGCUGUGAAGAUGCAGUGUACCCGCGGCAAGACGGAAAGACCCCGUGAACCUUUACUAUAGCUUGACACUGAACAUUGAGCCUUGAUGUGUAGGAUAGGUGGGAGGCUUUGAAGUGUGGACGCCAGUCUGCAUGGAGCCGACCUUGAAAUACCACCCUUUAAUGUUUGAUGUUCUAACGUGGACCCGUUACCCGGGUUGCGGACAGUGUCUGGUGGGUAGUUUGACUGGGGCGGUCUCCUCCUAAAGAGUAACGGAGGAGCACGAAGGUUGGCUAAUCCUGGUCGGACAUCAGGAGGUUAGUGCAAUGGCAUAAGCCAGCUUGACUGCGAGCGUGACGGCGCGAGCAGGUGCGAAAGCAGGUCAUAGUGAUCCGGUGGUUCUGAAUGGAAGGGCCAUCGCUCAACGGAUAAAAGGUACUCCGGGGAUAACAGGCUGAUACCGCCCAAGAGUUCAUAUCGACGGCGGUGUUUGGCACCUCGAUGUCGGCUCAUCACAUCCUGGGGCUGAAGUAGGUCCCAAGGGUAUGGCUGUUCGCCAUUUAAAGUGGUACGCGAGCUGGGUUUAGAACGUCGUGAGACAGUUCGGUCCCUAUCUGCCGUGGGCGCUGGAGAACUGAGGGGGGCUGCUCCUAGUACGAGAGGACCGGAGUGGACGCAUCACUGGUGUUCGGGUUGUCAUGCCAAUGGCACUGCCCGGUAGCUAAAUGCGGAAGAGAUAAGUGCUGAAAGCAUCUAAGCACGAAACUUGCCCCGAGAUGAGUUCUCCCUGAGACUUAGAGUCUCCUGAAGGAACGUUGAAGACGACGACGUUGAUAGGCCGGGUGUGUAAGCGCAGCGAUGCGUUGAGCUAACCGGUACUAAUGAACCGUGAGGCUUAACCUU